rnacentral:rRNA from 1 species
AGUCGAGGGGUAUGGUUCUUCGGAACCAGAGACCGGCGCACGGGUGCGUAACGCGUAUGCAAUCUGCCUUUCACAGAGGGAUAGCCCAGAGAAAUUUGGAUUAAUACCUCAUAGUAUAGCGACAUCGCAUGAUGAUGCUACUAAAGUCACAACGGUGAAAGAUGAGCAUGCGUCCCAUUAGCUAGUUGGUAAGGUAACGGCUUACCAAGGCAACGAUGGGUAGGGGUCCUGAGAGGGAGAUCCCCCACACUGGUACUGAGACACGGACCAGACUCCUACGGGAGGCAGCAGUGAGGAAUAUUGGUCAAUGGGCGCAAGCCUGAACCAGCCAUGCCGCGUGCAGGAUGACGGUCCUAUGGAUUGUAAACUGCUUUUGCACAGGAAGAAACACUGAUUCGUGAAUCAGCUUGACGGUACUGUGAGAAUAAGGAUCGGCUAACUCCGUGCCAGCAGCCGCGGUAAUACGGAGGAUCCAAGCGUUAUCCGGAAUCAUUGGGUUUAAAGGGUCCGUAGGCGGUCUGGUAAGUCAGUGGUGAAAGCCCAUCGCUCAACGGUGGAACGGCCAUUGAUACUGCUGGACUUGAAUUAUUAGGAAGUAACUAGAAUAUGUAGUGUAGCGGUGAAAUGCUUAGAGAUUACAUGGAAUACCAAUUGCGAAGGCAGGUUACUACUAAUGGAUUGACGCUGAUGGACGAAAGCGUGGGUAGCGAACAGGAUUAGAUACCCUGGUAGUCCACGCCGUAAACGAUGGAUACUAGCUGUUGGAAGCAAUUUCAGUGGCUAAGCGAAAGUGAUAAGUAUCCCACCUGGGGA